rnacentral:rRNA from 1 species
UUGAAGAGAGAGUAAACAGUGCGUGAAACCGCUCAGAGGUAAACGGGUGGAGUUGAACUGCGAACCCCGAGAAUUCAACUGGUGAGUGUGGUAUGAGCUUGGCAUAAUGGUUGGCUUUGCGGGUCUGCUUAGCUGCAGGUCUUCACCUCUUGGUGGAGAUGCGCGAUACACUUGUCAAGUGGUGCGCGCUCGUUGAGUUACUCGGACAUGCUUGCCAGUGCACUUUCUCGGGGUGUUCACCACGACCGGCGCCGCUACUUGUCUAAUAUGGUUAAACCGGUCUUGCUUGGUCCUUGUGGCUUUGCUUGAUCGGGAUGGCAGGUAACUCGUUAACUUGUGUGUUGGCUUCGGUUGACAUGCGCUUGGUUUUCGAGUGUAAUCAGCUGACUGUAUUGGUGCUAUGUAGUGCGUCGGAGACGGCGGCUUGUGGUGUGUGCCUGCGUGCCUAUUUGCUGACGGAACCGGGUUUGGUUAUUUUGUUGCCUGUUCUGCAGGCCUGGUGAUGGCCCGGUUUCGCUUGGUGGAUGGGGGCGUGUGUGACACUUAUCAGGGCCUAUAGUCUGUGGUGUUGUGGUAGACUAUCCACCUGACC